AACGAACGCUGGCGGCAGGCCUAACACAUGCAAGUCGAACGGGACCUUCGGGUCUAGUGGCGGACGGGUGAGUAACGCGUGGGAACGUGCCCUUUGGUUCGGAAUAGCCCCGGGAAACUGGGAGUAAUACCGGAUGUGCUCGAGAGAGGCAAGAUUUAUCGCCAAAGGAUCGGCCCGCGUUGGGUUAGGUAGUUGGUGAGGAAAUGGCUCACCAAGCCGACGAUCCAUAGCUGGUUUGAGAGGAUGAUCAGCCACACUGGGACUGAGACGCGGCCCAGACUCCUACGGGAGGCAGCAGUGGGGAAUCUUAGACAAUGGGGGAAACCCUGAUCUAGCCAUGCCGCGUGAUCGAUGAAGGCCUUAGGGUUGUAAAGAUCUUUCAGUGGGGAAGAUAAUGACUGUACCCACAGAAGAAGCCCCGGCUAACUCCGUGCCAGCCGCCGCUGUAACAC
rnacentral:rRNA from 1 species